AGCGAACGCUGGCGGCGUGCCUAACACAUGCAAGUCGAGCGAGAAAGGGGUGGCAACACCCUGAGUAAAGCGGCGAACGGGUGAGUAACGCGUGGGCAAUCUACCUUCCAGUCUGGGAUAACCUUCCGAAAGGGGGGCUAAUACCGGAUGAUGUCCUGUUGGGGCAUCCUGAGGGGAGCAAAGGGGGCGACCCGCAAGGGGCUCUCGCUGGAGGAGGAGCCUGCGUCCGAUUAGCUAGNGGUGGGGUAACGGCUCACCAAGGCGACGAUCGGUAGCCGGCCUGAGAGGGCGAUCGGCCACACUGGAACUGAGACACGGUCCAGACUCCUACGGGAGGCAGCAGUGAGGAAUCUUGCGCAAUGGGGGAAACCCUGACGCAGCAACGCCGCGUGGAGGAUGAAGGUCUUCGGAUCGUAAACUCUGUCAGAGGGGACGAAGGCUUGCGGGCGAA
rnacentral:rRNA from 1 species